rnacentral:lncRNA from 1 species
UUUUUUUUUUUUUUUUUUACUUUCAAUCGAGCCCUUUACUGGCUACACUGCAGGAGAGCUAGUGUGGGUUUCAUGCCGUUGUGUCCUGAGUGUGUGUGACAAAUGAGGGUCUGUCCCCACAUCUUCUCAGACUAAGAUUCUGUCUCCUGUUUGCCAAUCCACAGCAGCUGAUUUCUCCAAGCUUGAAUGAGCCCAUGGGGGUCUGAUCAGGUGAGGUGACCGCUGGCAAGUGACCCAGCCCUUGUCAACUCUCCCACCCCAGCUGCUGCUGCCAUGAGCACUGUGGGAUCUGGGAGCUGGGUUAGCGGGGACAGUAAGAAGGGGCCAGGAGCCCAUCCCCAAAACCUGGACAUGUCCUAGCCUGGUGUCUGCCUGGGCACCAAUACUAGGCAGGCAGGCAGGCAGGCAGGGCAAUGACCCACACCAGAGCCAGCCAUGGCAGGCCCCAGCACCCAAGCAGAGUAUAUGAUCAUUUCCCUUGCACCCCAUGUCUGGAAUCUUUCUCGUGAGCUCACUGUGGAAAGGAGGUUACAAGCCCAGGGUCACUGUGCCACUCCAUAGUCAGUCCCCUUAGUAAGUAACCUUCAAAGGCAAAUAAAUGACCUAAUUAAAAAACACAAAAGCCGGCCUUCCUUCCAAGGAGUCCCCUAAGAAUCUGUGGGCGCUCUGCUCCGACUGAGGAAGUCGGAGUAAAUGCAGACAGCUGCAGACUGUUCUAGAGUUCCGUUCUUUUCUCUGAUGGCACAUCUCUUGUGUUCAGUUAUUACCCAAAAAAACAAAGACCAAAGAAGGCCAAUCUCUCAUUUGACCGUGUUUUUAAUCUGCCUGUUUUGACACAUGCCGUCUGUAGUAACCGCUCGCUGUGAGGCCCCAUCUUGACAGUCCAAGUGAUCGUGACCAGUGAUUAGCGUCCCGUGUUCUUCUGCUCUUCUAAGAAACUGAGACAGUGUGAGUCAUUGCCCAGCAAUAAUGUCACCAGGAGUCAGCAGCACGCCUCAUCUCCUGACAGCAUUAUGAUGUUUCGAUUCUGUUUACUGUGUGUUACAUGUGGUUUCAUUUGGUAUUUAUUUGUGUUUUGAGGUCUUGCGAUGUUUCUGUUCUGCUGCUAAUAAUAAAAUUUGUAAGACUGUAGAAUGCAAAAUUUUGCAAUG